rnacentral:rRNA from 2 species
GCGACCCCAGGUCANGCGGGAUUACCCGCUGAGUUUAA